rnacentral:rRNA from 1 species
GGGUUGUGAGGUUAAGCGACUAAGCGUACACGGUGGAUGCCCUGGCAGUCAGAGGCGAUGAAGGGCGUGCUAAUCUGCGAUAAGCGCCGGUAAGGUGAUAUGAACCGUUAUAACCGGCGAUACCCGAAUGGGGAAACCCAGUGUGAUUCGUCACACUAUCAUUACGUGAAUACAUAGCGUAAUGAAGCGAACCGGGGGAACUGAAACAUCUAAGUACCCCGAGGAAAAGAAAUCAACCGAGAUUCCCCCAGUAGCGGCGAGCGAACGGGGAGGAGCCCAGAGCCUGAAUCAGCAUGUGUGUUAGUGGAAGCGU